GGUGAACGCUGGCGGCGUGCUUAAGACAUGCAAGUCGAACGCAGUCUUCGGACUGAGUGGCGCACGGGUGAGUAACACGUAACUGACCUGCCCCCAAGUCGCGGAUAACUGGCCGAAAGGUCAGCUAAUACGUGAUGUGGUGUCCCCUUUCUGGGGGGCCAUUAAAGGUUUACUGCUUGGGGAUGGGGUUGCGUUCCAUCAGCUAGUUGGCGGGGUAAAGGCCCACCAAGGCAACGACGGAUAGCCGGCCUGAGAGGGUGGCCGGCCACAGGGGCACUGACACACGGGUCCCACUCCUACGGGAGGCAGCAGUUAGGAAUCUUCCACAAUGGGCGAAAGCCUGAUGGAGCGACGCCGCGGGAGGGAUGAAGGUUCUCGGAUCGUAAACCUCUGAAUCAGGGACGAAAGACGCGUAAGCGGGAUGACGGUACCUGAGUAAUAGCACCGGCUAACUCCGUGCCAGCAGCCGCCGUAA
rnacentral:rRNA from 1 species